GCCUACGGGACGCAGCAGUAGGGAAUCUUCCACAAUGGGCGAAAGCCUGCUGGAGCAACGCCGCGUGGGUGAAGAAGGUCUUCGGAUCGUAAAACCCUGUUGUUAGAGAAGAAAGUGCGUGAGAGUAACUGUUCACGUUUCGACGGUAUCUAACCAGAAAGCCACGGCUAACUACGUGCCAGCAGCCGCGGUAAUACGUAGGUGGCAAGCGUUAUCCGGAUUUAUUGGGCGUAAAGAGAACGCAGGCGGUCUUUUAAGUCUGAUGUGAACGCCUUCGGCUUAACCGGAGUAGUGCAUUGGAAACU
rnacentral:rRNA from 1 species